GAUGAAGAACGUAGUGAAACGCGAAAGGUAAUGCGAAUUGCAGAAUCAGUGAGUCAUCGAAUCUUUGAACGCACAUUGCGCCUCUCGGUAUUCCGGGAGGCACGCCUGUUCGAGCGCCAUUACAAACUCCAAGCUGUGCUUGAUGUUGGUCCGGUGUGUAUCGGGUAAAUCUUCUUUUUCGGAGGAAGAGUUUGAGAGACACAGGACUGGAACGCGUUGGCGCCGCCGCCAGACCACGAGCGUAGCAAGACGAGAGUCAAGAAAUCGCCUCGGGUUGGAUCUGACGGACGGUGGCCUGGUUAUGUAUAUGAUUCAUGGAUGAUUUAUCGACAUGAAUGAUAGACACACACACAGUUUGGCCUCGGAUCAGGCGGGGAUACCCGCUGAACUUAAGCAUAUCAAUAAGCGGAGGA
rnacentral:misc_RNA from 1 species